rnacentral:miRNA from 1 species
GGUCCAGGGCAUUUCCUGGGGAUUAAUGACUGGCUGGGGUUACUGGCCCGGAGCAUUGCUCUAGGUCAUUAAUCCCCAGGAAAUGCCCUGUGUACCUGGAGC